rnacentral:misc_RNA from 1 species
AACGUAGGAGACAAACGUUAUCUGGAGUUACUGGGCGUAAAGGGCGUGUAGGUGGUUUUGUAAGUCUGGCGUGAAAUAUCUCGGCUUAACCGGGACAGGUCGUCGGAUACUGCAGAACUAGAGGACGGUAGAGGCGUGUGGAAUUCCGGGUGUAGUGGUGAAAUGCGUAGAGAUCCGGAGGAACACCAGUGGCGAAGGCGACACGCUGGGCCGUACCUGACACUGAGGCGCGAUAGCAUGGGGAGCAAACAGG